AAUGAAAAAAUCCAUUUGAACAUUAUCUCUGAGGGAUUUUUGUUUCUCCCUCCUCUAAAUAAGUGUGGUGAACUGCUCCCUGUGAUGAUCAGCAUUUUCUUUGAUGAGAGAGGAUACAAAUUUGGUGAGUAUAGGGUCUCUAUGAUGAAUAGAUCACCAUGGAUUAGAGUCUAAAUAGGGAUUCAUAGUGGUAGUCGAGGAUCCCUUCUACCCUCAGUGGAUAUAUGUUGUAACGGCUUUGCGUAAAGGUCAAUAAAAGACAAAUAAAAUUUAAGCAUUGUUUAGAGCAUCAUUUUAGUCUUUAUGAUGAAAUUUCCUACUUUUAGUGCAUCGUAUACGCUUUCUAAUCUUUGUCUUAUCCAACUUCUCUGUUUAAGUAUUCUUGGUGAAAUGGAUCUACUUAAGAUGAUAUUUUAUUGAACAUCUAUAUAUCUAGUUUUUAUGAAGAUAGCGAUUUUCAUGCGAUUUAAUGACUCCAUUCUGCAAUGAACUCCAAGGUCAAAGGUAUAUGAGCUUUAUUCAAAAUGCUUCCCCUUUAAACCUUAGUCAUAUGAUUUCAAAUAUUGUUUUUCUUAUUAAGUUUACAUGAAACUCACCCAUAAUCCGUGCCCCCCGGUGUUGAGGAAGUUAAGGGUUCGCUCUCUGAGUCACCUUUUGGAGUCCAGGUAGACCCAAUUCCAGACUCUUG
rnacentral:lncRNA from 1 species